AUGCAAUUACUAUACCGUGGUCACUGAAAUUUGAACUAUGUUAUUGGGAGAAUGCUGUUAUUUAAAUCGUGUUCAUGGAAAUUCAUGUAUAUUGGAACCAUGCGAUGUGAGGAGUCCCUGUGUACAGUAUAAUAAUUAUACUGAUUCUACAUACCUGAUAGAAAGGAGGAAAGGAGAAAGCUCCACAAAGACUGUGGAAGGCCACAGAUCAAUUUGGCUAUUAACCGAGCUGAGGGGUCCAUCACAGAUCACCGUGGGAUCUGAGACAGGUGCUGUGCUCUGUCAGACACUGCUAGGAAAGACAGCACAAGCAGGGUCUAAUCACUUAAAACGUAUUUUUUCUAUCUAACCAUGGAAAAAUCUCUGAUAGAGACCUUAAUCUUGAUCUUCAAAACCAAAUCGACAAUUUCAGGUGAGCCACAGGGACAUAGGUGGGACACAGGACAGGGGUGGGCUAUAACACAACUGGAUGGUUCCAGAUCAAAUCCUCCAGGUCUGGGCAUCCCCAAGUAGGAGAGCAUGUGAGACUGACUGAAAUGGAGCCCACCUCAUUCCAGCACAUGCCGGAUCUGGCCCUGAUGCUGCCUUCCCAAAAACAAGAUGCAGAAAGCCCUGAAGUCACUUCAUCUGUUUGGGUGACUUUCUGUCUGCAUCAGUGAAAGUUGCAGGGUCUUCUCUCCCUCAGCUCUCAUUUCAUCAUGCCUUUUCCAUCAAGCUACUGCUCAGUCUACAAGUUACUUUAUAGCUUUGUUAGGAAAUUACUAGAUGUAAAAACUACUUUGAAAUUAGGUAAAUUCAGAGUUUGGAGUUACAACCUUAUAUGGUAUUUCCCUUUUCCAGGUGACCCUCCAGUCCAAAGCCAUAAAUAUUGUCAUUAGUCUGUUAGAAAGGCAAGCCUUUUCUGCCUGGGUCCUAGUGAGUCUCUUUGAAGCCUCUAGAAUCCAAGUUCAGUGGUUGCACCAUUUUCCACUCUAUAAAUUAGCAAAUCUGACUAGUCAGCCUCUGGCUUCAGUUGCCCCAAACUGUCCCUUCUCUGAAAGCCACUCCUUCAUCCUAGUCUGUCCCCAAAUUUCUCUUAAAGUCCUUUCAGUUUCU
rnacentral:lncRNA from 1 species